UUUAAUAUUGUUUAUAGUUGUCAGAUUAUGGGUUUUAUAUGUCAGAAGUUCGCACUCACGAAAGGUUUCGCUGGACGCAUUGCUUGAGGACCGUCGCCGCCAUGUUCCUGGUUUUACUCUUUGUGUCUGUGUUUGUUCAGACGGCGCGGAGGGUUUGCACCAAAGUCGCUUCGAUCCUUGGCCGUCGUCGUCCGCCCAAGAGUCCGCAGUAGCGAGCAGGGCCCUGGCGGACUACGGCAAACCUUUUAAAUUAUCGUACUCGAAGGAAGAUGGCCCAAGAUUUGGAGGACGAAACAACGAAGAAGAACCGAUGUACUAUGAGUCUUGAUUUCUCAGCCAAAGCCACAGAUGCAGUAGUUUCCAGGGCUCCUGGCUUCUUGUAUGUACCUGAUGAUGCUCUGCCUUACGAAUAUCCUUCAAGAGUGGAUGAAAAAUACAGGAUCGUAGUUCCUGUAUAUCCUUAAAUUAAUUUCAAGUACUCAGUAUUAAAAAUAUCGUCACAGUUUCUGUUAUAAUGACACAGAAUAUGAUAAUUUAGAAUUAAGAUUUGCACUUAACAUGGAGAUUGUACUACUAAUUUGAUUGAUGAACAAAUAAAUUUAAUUAAUAUAAUAUUA